rnacentral:rRNA from 1 species
AAUAGAUACCCCGGGGUAGUCCAGCCGUAAAACGAUGGAUGCUAGCUGUUAGGAGUAUCGACCCUUCUAGUAGCGAAGCUAACGCGUUAAGCAUCCCGCCUGGGGAGUACGGUCGCAAGAUUAAAAACUCAAAGGAAUUGACGGGGACCCGCACAAGUGGUGGAGCGUGUUCUUUAAUUCGAUGUUAAGCGAAGAACCUUACCAGGGCUUGACAUCCUUGGAAUUUCUCCGAAAGGAGAAAGUACUUUAUUGGACCAAGUGACAGGUGUUGCAUGGCCGUCGUCAGCUCGUGUCGUGAGAUGUUAGGUUAAGUCCUUCAACGAGCGCAACCCUUAUGUUUAGUUGGAUUUUUCUAAACAGACUGCCCCGGUAACGGGGAGGAAGGAGGGGAUGAUGUCAGGUCAUUAUUACCCUUACGCCCUGGCUAGAAACCGCGCUACAAGUGGCUAGGUACAAAGGGCUGCCAACCCGCGAGGGGGUAGCAAACUCCCAUACAAAACCAGCCCCAGUUCGGAUUGCAGGUCUAGAAACUCGCUGCAUGAAGCCGGAAUCGACUAGUAAGUCGUAGGUCAG